rnacentral:rRNA from 1 species
UACGUAGGGUGCGAGCGUUGUCCGGAAUUACUGGGCGUAAAGAGCUCGUAGGUGGUUUGUCGCGUUGUUCGUGAAAACUCCCGGCUUAACUGGGAGGGGCCGUGCGAAACUGCCGGGCUUGAGGUCGGAAGGGGAAAGUGGAAUUCCGGGUGUAGUGGUGGAAUACGUAGAUAUCCGGAGGAACACCAGCGGCGAAGGCGGCUUUCUGGUCCGAUACUGACGCUGAGGUGCGAAAGCGUGGGGAGCGAUCCGG